CCUGAGAAACCCAAAAGAUCGAAUGGGGAGAUUCAUCGUCAGCACACUUUUAUACGUAUGAGUUAUGAUCCGGGUUACUCUUGUAGUAUUGCCUGUACGUACUUGUAUAUUUGAAGGUGUAGUCGGCGUGCACUUCUCCCCUAGUAGAACGUCGCGACCCGUUGGGUGUCUGUUUAUGACCUAAAUGGUAGUCUUCGAUGUUUUAUAACAUUGAAAGCCUUUGGUGUUCUAACAGACUGCUCAGCGGUAUUCAUACGGUAUUUAGUCGCACUUGUGCGUCCAUAUCUGUGACAAGCGAGGUUAGUUUCUGGUAUACGGACUUAGUGCCGUCGCUGGAGCUCGCCAGCUGUUGGUUAACAGAAUCUAGGACUGACUAAAAUGUAACACUACCGGUCGGCGAUGCUACUGCUUUGGGUACUUUCAGGACCCGUCUUGAAACACGGACCAAGGAGUCUAACAUGUACGCGAGUCAUUGGGAUAUUUAAAAUAAACCUAAAGGCGUAAUGAAAGUAAAAGUCAUCCUUGCGGUGACUGAGGGAAGAUGAGUUGUGUUAAGAUACAACUUCGCAUUCCCGGGGCGUCUCAUUCUCAUUACGAGAAGGGCGCGACCUAG
rnacentral:rRNA from 1 species